AUGGUAGAGGCGCGGUUAUCAUCAUUAGCCUGCAUCCUGAAAGGAGUCAGAACUCCUGAUGGGGCGAAAGGGGUCGCCGCCGAAGUUGAAAAGGAUUCUGAGCCUUUUCUGCUGGGUCGCCGGAGAACAUCCUGCGGACUGUCACUUUAUUGUGGAGCGCUAUCA
rnacentral:ncRNA from 1 species